AAGUCGUAACAAGGUUUCCGUAGGUGAACCUGCGGAAGGAUCAUUUCCGAAAAAAAAAAACUAUACCAACCCACAGUGUGCUUAGUUUUGGGUCCCUUUUUUUUACUCUUUCAUGGUUUUAUACAAGGGGACGUGCGUGUGUGGCAACACAUGCGCUCUAUAACCUUGUAUAAUAUAUAUGCCGUGAGAGAGGCCUUGAUGAACUACCUCCAUGUUCUCUUAUUUUCCUAUAUGUACAUACAUGUGCAUAUACGAGAUAUGAGCGCAUCAGGUUGAUGUACCAUGAAGUGAUACUUUAAAACAGUAUACAUUAAAAAAAAUGAUACGACAACUUUUAACGGUGGAUCUCUUGGCUCGU
rnacentral:misc_RNA from 1 species